CCAAGAGUUCAUAUCGACGGCGUGUUUGGCACCUCGAUGUCGGCUCAUCACAUCCUGGGGCUGAAGUAGGUCCCAAGGGUAUGGCUGUUCGCCAUUUAAAGUGGUACGCGAGCUGGGUUUAGACGUCGUGAGACAGUUCGGUCCCUAUCUGCCGUGGGCGCUGGAGAAUUGAGGGGGGCUGCUCCUAGUACGAGAGGACCGGAGUGGACGCAUCACUGGUGUUCGGGUUGUCAUGCCAAUGGCACUGCCCGGUAGCUAAAUGCGGAAGAGAUAAGUGCUGAAAGCAUCUAAGCACGAAACUUGCCCCGAGAUGAGUUCUCCCUGAGACUUUAAGUCUCCUGAAG
rnacentral:rRNA from 1 species